GUGUCGAAUUCAACGACAAUCUAGUACUUCAUUUGUUGAGAAGGAUCGAAGUAAUCGAGAGCGUUACAACCACGAUCGCUUUCUAAACAUCAGAUCCGUGUAGUUUUCUGGGCGUUCUGUAGCGGUCUUCACUUUCCUCAGCGAUGAAGGGCGCGAUUUCAAAGCGAGACCACGUUUUUGAAGGCUGAGUUUGUUCUCAACUCGAUACGAUUUUGAAGGCGUGAUUAAGACCUUCGAACGUGUAAAUGUUUCACCAACAGAUGCUAAUUGCAACAGUAAUCUAGUGCUGCUUUUUCAUGAGCUGGGCAAUUUCUUCUCCAACUUCGAUGAUCUGGAUUCUAGAACCAGCCCAUCCGAAUUAAAAUCAAAGUAGCCCAUUGACCAAAGCAAAAUAAGCUUCACAGGCAACAUAAUUAGUAUGAUCAUUUUCAAUGCAAUCUUUUGUCUCAGUGUAGAUGCGGACUGUCAUUUGACAAGUCAAACAAUGCCAUUGUUCUACCAACCAUGGACUUAUCCACGGUCUUAUUUUUUCUCUGGAUUGCUUCUUCUUUUCAUCUGUAACUGUGGGCACUGUUUACAAAAAAUGACAUAUUCAUGAACAUCCAGCGACCGAAAGUUCACUGGAUGUUCACCGGACCUCGCCAGAUGCAAGAUGUCAGCAGUGAUUUUAGUAAACACGACCCGCAGUUCAGGGUUGCCAAAUUUAAAUCUGUAUUUUGGCCUUCCAAAAAUCUGUAUCAUCUGUAUGACUACUUUUUCCGAAAAUCUGUAUGAAAUCUGUAUUGUUUUACGGAAAAUCUGUAUGAAAUUCUGUAAGUUUUUGAAAAAUCUGUAGAUUCUGCAUCCUUUUCCAAAAAUCUGUAAUAUUGGUAUACAGAAUUCUGUAUGAUAAACUGCGAAAAAAUCUGUAUAAUUACAGAAAAAUCUGUAUAUUUGGCAUCCCUGCCGCAGUUACCGUUUCACAGCAUGCUGUCAAUUAGCGUAUGACGUCAUCGUGGAUAAGUUCAUUGUUCUACCAACCAACAGAAGUGUCCUGUCAGAAAGUGUCUUCCGUGGGAGCUACUGAUUUUUCUAAUAGACGGACAGUGGAAAAGGUCAGAGCGACUGAUACCCCAACAAACUUUUUUGCUGUACAAGAGUGGAACAAACUACAGUAGAUGUUCGCUCGGUGCAAACGGUUUGGCUGCAAGUCCGGUAACUGCAACAAUUUUGAAAUUAUCGCACCGCUAUCUGUCAAAAUCAAAACGUCAAAUGAGUUGCGAUGUUUUUCGGAUGCACUACAGCUGCAAUGCGAUGUUUUUGAGUGCAUUUUGGCUGCGUCCGACAUGAAUUGACAGCCGUUUGACGAAUGUCAGUCGUUGCAGUUAGUGAAUUACAUUCGGUAACUGAAACGUAAACAUGUUGUACUUAUCGAAUGUCUACUGUACUCUUAAGCAAACUUUAGCUUAAGAAACUGUUAUUCAGCUAGUUCAUGGGACGUCUCCGAGAAGAAAGUGUCUCCAGAUGGCUCCACUGAUGAAAGGCAUCAACAGUGCUAAAAUUACUGGAAGAAAGGGUAGUAGAAAAGGAAGGAAGGGUAAAAAGAGCUAGAGCGAGGUCUUCGAGUAAUUUUUCGAUGUUUCAUUACUCUGUAUAAGUUAACAACUGAAAUGGAGAACAACUGUUUGUACAGAUUGUAACAGUACUAGCUCCUGGCUGGUCUUAUCAAUUGAAGGAAAUAAUUGCGAUUCAAUCUUAUCUCGUAUCGAUUUGUUCACAGCAAAACCAGCAAAGACCCCUUUAACACAAUUCCAAGAAACAGAUAAAGGCCACUGUUCGCAAUUAUCACGUUAGCAGAAAUACAGCCACGAAGGCCAUAAAAUGCCAGGUAGACAUAAAACCCUAGGUAUUUUCGUCAUUCCAUCGAUCAUUGACCGAGCUAGCUGAAGCGAAAAUGAAAGGAUUCGAAAUUAAAGAUGGCUUCACCCAACUGAAACUGCUGGUUUCAGCAACCAGUGACGAUUGUUAAAUCAAACAAAACAUUCAUUAUGCUAUCGAUAAUCGCUGUUACCAAGUCAAGCAUCACGCUGUCGACCGUCGUAGUAGGCUGCGAUAACAUUGGUGGCGGCGAAGGCGAAGGCGACAGCGACUACUACGACUGUGACAAGGUCUUUGUGUGUUGUUAGUAGUGCAGUACUAGAUGAGGGAAGGGCACAGCAGGCGGUGCUUCACAUCCGAUUCAAACAGAGGGUGAAGCACGGCAAAAAGUGUAGAUUUUCAUCAAUUAUUCCGAUCGCUGCGCAGUGCCAGAUAAUGAGUUGAUGAGUGUUUACCGGGUUUAUUUGACGUUGCUCUUAUCAACAACUUCGGUGCUCAAUCAGACGUCGAAUAUAGAUAAGUGAGUCACCUCACCAUACGGUAGUUGGGUCGUACAUUUGCCACCUAUGAUGGCAUGCAGGGGUGUUUUAUAAUUCAACCAACGAUUAGACCAAAUUACUAUCGUGGCACUGCAAUUAUGAGAUCAGCAAAAAUAGAUUAGACUGUUUGUGCCAUAAUACUCAUGGCUGGGUCGGUUUAGAAAGUGAUGAGUCAUAGAUCGCAGCAAAAGUUGCCUCGUUAGAGAUGUCUUUAAAGAAGUCAUCAAAUUUUCGCCUUCUGUUUUACAAAGUGAUUUCUCAGAUAUAUUUUACCGGCUUGUCGAUAACUAUAUCAAGUGUAACGUGAUUUCACAUCAAAAAGUUUGAUAAUUGUUGGAUACAAUCAUCCAAGAAUAAAUGAUCAUCCCUAGUCGCCUUCCUUCGUAUUUUUUUUUUCAAUCUGAUGCGUAGUAGUUUGAUCAAACUUUGCUGCAUUAUUUUUAAACAUGCUGCUUUGAUUGAUUUUAAUGGUUUUACCAAGGUUUUACCGCAUUUCAACAAGAUUUCAUCCUGAAAAGGCAUGGCCUACUUUGACCUUUUCAGUGCGUGUCGCCAUAAAACAGAACGGCGGAAACUUCUCGAAGUCUCCCCCAGCAUAUUUCGACGACGAUGUUCGCUUGAAUCGAAGCCAAAAAUAUUCGCUCAUCGGACGCUUUUCUACGAAUUUUAACCGUGGAACUAAAACCGGCCCCCAUCACAUGACCUUUUUCUGCGAUUGAAUUGCUGGGAAAUUCCCAGUCACUCAGGCAGGCAAGCGUACGAACGAACGUGUUGCGACAUGUUUGUUCGUUCCAGUGCCUGCUACGUUGCCAGUUAUUGCGUUACGUCACAGCACUAUUCAGUCGGUUCGAUUUUCCAAGCGUAGGUGUUGAAUGUAUCGAUUUCUCUACCAGCUUUGCGUUUCCGAUUGAGUUUAGAACUUAUUGAAACUAGUAGUUGAACUAUAAUUAACACUAAUUAUACAUACUCGGUAGAAAUAUCGCCUUAGGGUCUAACGUUUUCCACACGUAUUUGCGCCCUAUUUUCUCGGCUUGUUUUGUUUCGCCCAGUUCGCCACGAAAAAUUCACCACCAAUAACUAAAGUUAUAAACUUU